CACUCCUAGCUUGAGGCUACCCAUUCAACUUCUUCCAGACUACUCAAGCAACGAUGAACUUCCACACAGUUGGUUCAAGAAAAUUCACCUGCAACUGAAACGAGAAGAAAACGUUCCGAGUCAAAGAAGAAGGUGGAAGAGUCUCUCCGGUUGGCUUUAAUGGAAGUUUUUCGAGAGGAUCAAGGGAAAGAGAUGAAGAGGAUGAAAAUCAAGUUGAAGUUGAAGUUCAUCUCUGUUUGGAAGAGGAAAGUUUUGGGAGAGAAGACGGAGGAGAGGAAAGAGAGGUACGAAAGAGAGUUGAAUUGUCUGAGUUUCAAUAUCGUUCGUAUUUGUAUUUUUUCAAAAAAAUAAUGAAUUUUUAUUAUAAGUUAAAAUGACGUGUAAAUCACCCAUUGGUGGAAUUGCGUACUGGAUUUCCUCUCGCGCCUAACAGCUGCUUUCCUAAGAGUU